AUGAACGCUGGCGGCGUGCCUAAUACAUGCAAGUCGAGCGAACAGAUGAGGAGCUUGCUCCUCUGACGUUAGCGGCGGACGGGUGAGUAACACGUGGAUAACCUACCUAUAAGACUGGGAUAACUUCGGGAAACCGGAGCUAAUACCGGAUAAUAUAUUGAACCGCAUGGUUCAAUAGUGAAAGACGGUUUUGCUGUCACUUAUAGAUGGAUCCGCGCCGCAUUAGCUAGUUGGUAAGGUAACGGCUUACCAAGGCAACGAAGCGUAGCCGACCUGAGAGGGUGAUCGGCCACACUGGAACGGAGACACGGUCCAGACUCCUACGGGAGGCAGCAGUAGGGAAUCUUCCGCAAUGGGCGAAAGCUUGACGGAGCAACGCCGCGUGAGUGAUGAAGGUCUUCGGAUCGUAAAACUCUGUUAUUAGGGAAGAACAAAUGUGUAAGUAACUAUGCACGUCUUGACGGUACCUAAUCAGAAAGCCACGGCUAACUACGUG
rnacentral:rRNA from 1 species